rnacentral:rRNA from 1 species
AUUGAACGCUGGCGGCAUGCCUUACACAUGCAAGUCGAACGGCAGCGGACCUUCGGGUGCCGGCGAGUGGCGAACGGGUGAGUAAUGCAUCGGAACGUGCCCUGGAGUGGGGGGAUAACGUAGCGAAAGUUACGCUAAUACCGCAUAUUCUGUGAGCAGGAAAGCAGGGGAUCGCAAGACCUUGCGCUCUGGGAGCGGCCGAUGUCGGAUUAGCUAGUUGGUGGGGUAAAGGCCUACCAAGGCGACGAUCCGUAGCGGGUCUGAGAGGAUGAUCCGCCACACUGGGACUGAGACACGGCCCAGACUCCUACGGGAGGCAGCAGUGGGGAAUUUUGGACAAUGGGCGAAAGCCUGAUCCAGCCAUGCCGCGUGAGUGAAGAAGGCCUC